rnacentral:rRNA from 1 species
UACAGAGGGGGCAAGCGUUAUUCGGAAUUAUUGGGCGUAAAGGGCGCGUAGGCGGCUUUGCAAGUGACGGGUGAAAUCCCUCGGCUUAACCGAGGAACUGCCUGUCAAACUGCAUGGCUUGAGACCGGGAGAGGUGAGUGGAAUUCCCCAGUGUAGCGGUGAAAUGCGUAGAUAUUGGGAGGAACGACCAGUGGCGAAGGCGGACUCAC